rnacentral:rRNA from 1 species
UGAGUUUGAUCCUGGCUCAGAUUGAACGCUGGCGGCAUGCCUUACACAUGCAAGUCGAACGGCAGCACGGGUGCUUGCACCUGGUGGCGAGUGGCGAACGGGUGAGUAAUACAUCGGAACGUGUCCUGUAGUGGGCGAUAGCCCGGCGAAGGCCGGAUUAAUACCGCAUACGAUCUACGGAUGAAAGCGGGGGACCUUCGGGCCUCGCGCUAUAGGGUUGGCCGAUGGCUGAUUAGCUAGUUGGUGGGGUAAAGGCCUACCAAGGCGACGAUCAGUAGCUGGUCUGAGAGGACGACCAGCCACACUGGGACUGAGACACGGCCCAGACUCCUACGGGAGGCAGCAGUGGGGAAUUUUGGACAAUGGGCGAAAGCCUGAUCCAGCAAUGCCGCGUGUGUGAAGAAGGCCUUCGGGUUGUAAAGCACUUUUGUCCGGAAAGAAAUCCUUGGCUCUAAUACAGUCGGGGGGUGACGGUACCGGAAGAAUAAGCACCGGCUAACUACGUGCCAGCAGCCGCGGUAAUACGUAGGGUGCGAGCGUUAAUCGGAAUUACUGGGCGUAAAGCGUGCGCAGGCGGUUUGCUAAGACCGAUGUGAAGUCCCCGGGCUCCACCUGGGAACUGCAUUGGUGACUGGCAGGCUAGAGUAUGGCAGAGGGGGGUAGAAUUCCACGUGUAGCAGUGAAAUGCGUAGAGAUGUGGAGGAAUACCGAUGGCGAAGGCAGCCCCCUGGGCCAAUACUGACGCUCAUGCACGAAAGCGUGGGGGAGCAAACAGGAUUAGAUACCCUGGUAGUCCACGCCCUAAACGAUGUCAACUAGUUGUUGGGGAUUCAUUUCCUUAGUAACGUAGCUAACGCGUGAAGUUGACCGCCUGGGGAGUACGGUCGCAAGAUUAAAACUCAAAGGAAUUGACGGGGACCCGCACAAGCGGUGGAUGAUGUGGAUUAAUUCGAUGCAACGCGAAAAACCUUACCUACCCUUGACAUGGUCGGAAUCCUGCUGAGAGGUGGGAGUGCUCGAAAGAGAACCGGCGCACAGGUGCUGCAUGGCUGUCGUCAGCUCGUGUCGUGAGAUGUUGGGUUAAGUCCCGCAACGAGCGCAACCCUUGUCCUUAGUUGCUACGCAAGAGCACUCUAAGGAGACUGCCGGUGACAAACCGGAGGAAGGUGGGGAUGACGUCAAGUCCUCAUGGCCCUUAUGGGUAGGGCUUCACACGUCAUACAAUGGUCGGAACAGAGGGUUGCCAACCCGCGAGGGGGAGCUAAUCCCAGAAAACCGAUCGUAGUCCGGAUUGCACUCUGCAACUCGAGUGCAUGAAGCUGGAAUCGCUAGUAAUCGCGGAUCAGCAUGCCGCGGUGAAUACGUUCCCGGGUCUUGUACACACCGCCCGUCACACCAUGGGAGUGGGUUUUACCAGAAGUGGCUAGUCUAACCGCAAGGAGGACGGUCACCACGGUAGGAUUCAUGACUGGGGUGAAGUCGUAACAAGGUAA